CCAAUCCAACCUUCCAAACCUUCAUUCCAUUCUACAGGGAGGCACAGCAAGGAUGAGAGCUAUGGUUAGGGUGAGCUUGUGACAAUGAUGAAUACAAGCACACAGUUUCAGAAACACAAGGACAGAAACGUGUUGCUCAGACCUGACUUAAACUGUGCUCUUUACACAAUCACUCAAUACCAGUGUGCAGGCCACAUGACAAGGCACUUCAUGAGAAAACCAUCAGCUGACAUGUCUAUAGAGACCAUUCUGUGCCAGAAACAGUUCCAGGUUUAGUGGGUAUGUAUAGAGCACGCUCUUUCACAGCUAGGGUCCUCUCACACAGGUACAG
rnacentral:lncRNA from 1 species